CUCAGGCAGAAGAAGGAAAAGGUGGGGACAAGCAUGUACAAGCCUUUGUGGGCAGCAAACAUCAUGAAUCCUUCUAGUGCCUGGAAGACAGCGACAUUCCACUGUUUCUUAGGGAAGAAGCAUCCCUCCUGCCAAAGGGAGUCAAGAGAUGUAGACGCAUUUAAAUAUAACUGCACUGUCUGCGCGGGUCCCUUAGAAACAACUUUAACGUGGGGUCAAAUACAACUCUCUCACACAAUUGCUUUAUAAAAGAGCUUUUAUCUUUUAUCACACAACAGUGCAUCUUGAAAACAGCAUUUAUGUAGAUAUCUUAGCAGGUUUUAAACAUGCAUUUCAAAGGGUUCUAUCACUAGAAGAAAUGGGAGCAGAGGCCGGGUCCUAGUGGAUUGGGCUGUAAGUGGGUACGCUUUUCAGCUGCUCUGUAGAGACUGGCGUUUCCACCAAAAUAUUUCUGUAGCUCAACACUUACAGUCCCUGUUUCAUCUUCCAAUUUUGCAAAGUAAAACACCUUUCAAUAAGGCAAAUGGUAGAGCUGCAUUUGAUCUUGUUUUUAAAUUUUAAUUAUUUUUUUUGAAAUUUGGAUUCCUCUGUGCAGAUUUUCAAGGCUGGGGGUGGGGGUGGCGGUCUUAAAAUGACUCAAGCUAUAAAAAUGAGUUAAGACUAUUUUAAGCUUUAAAGAUAUAUUACCAUAAUCACUGCUGCUUUAUGUACUAAAUUAAAGAACUCUGGAGUCGGAAAGGACUCUUCAAGGCUGGCUGGUAACAAGCUCCAUGUCCGUGGGGCCGCCUUCCGAUGAACAAAUGGUCCCACUGCCUGACGCCACUGAGGGCCACUCCUCCUCGGCAGGGAACGCCGGUGUCGGGCAGUGCCAUCUGCUUGGAGAGCCUUCCGACGCGCUGAAACCUGCCUCUUUGCCGUCUUCACCCGCAGGUGCCCUUCUGUCCUGACAGGUGAGCACAGCCCCUUGCUCUUCCAAGGACGGCCUGUCGGAAGCGCGAGCGCAGCCUCCGGCCACAACGCUGCGCUUCCCCUCAGCUGAGCAGAACCGCAGCUCGAGCCCUCCUCGCAGGCCCUUCCGGCCUGUGUGGCUCCUCCAGGCCACCUGCAGGAAAUGAAAAAUCUCCUUCGAGCCCAUCUGCUCUGGACGCCAUCCCGACACUCCGGCCGCUCUCCCCUGAGGCCGAACGCCGACCCCACGGAGCCGGUGCCCCCAAGUCCCCGGGUGGCCGCGACCCCUCUCCCCUCCGCACCGAGGCGGCGGGGGCUGAGGCGUGGGCGGCUGCCCGGGAGAUGGCAGAACUGAGGCCUGAAGGGCCCCCCACGCGACGACCAGUCACGGUGGAAGGAGGGGGUGGGCAGGCUGGGACGCCCGGGGGGCGCGGGGUCCUGGCUUGGGCGUGGCUCUCCCACCCGCCGACGAGGCCCCUCCGGCGGCUGCGCCCCCGCGCCGAGCACCCAGCGCCCA
rnacentral:lncRNA from 1 species